ACUUUUCUUGGUUUUCUUGUUGUCCCUUUAUUGUCUGAUCCAAAUGGGGGAGACCAAACACUGUGUUUGUUAUUGUCAUUCCGGACAUUGUCAUUGCUCUUGUAGUCGCGAGGUACUUGAAAAGGACCUCGCGAACGGUCUGAAAGAAGAAAAUAAAAGAAUGAAAACCAGGGAUGAACCAUCAAAUGAUGCGUGGCUUCCCCAACACUACUGAUGAAUCAGUGGAUUGACUAAUUAUAUCAUGUACACGUAAUGAGGAAAUAAUUCUUUUCGGCAUUUGUAAUUUUGUCUGUAUCAUUGAUAAAAAUAUCCCAAAAUAAAUUAUUAUUAGCAUUCCAA